UGAGUGUAGUCUGGCCCAGGAGUGUGAAGGUGAACAGAAAGGCUCUGGAGCAACGAACCGCCCUUGCUGUCUCUGCCUGGCCGGUUACCCUCUUUCCACUGGGAUUCUCUGCCUCUAACCCUAUUACAGGGGCUGAGUCACUGGCUUACUGGUGCUCUUUCACGCUUCUGUGACAAUAAUUAGGUUCCAGUAGGUUCAAAAUCCACAUCCCUCUUCAAGACCUCGUUCCAGAAGUGAUGAAAGCAGUUCCACUUUUGUACCAACAUUGAAGACAUGCAAAUAAUUUUUAUGGAUUCCAUCUUAAAUUCAUGGUCUACUUAAGAAAAUGUCUUUACUUUUGAUGUUUGGGCAUCUUCAAUGAGAUGUUUUUCUCCAUUGUAAAGAACACAGUGCAACCUUUGUGCUUGUUUUCUAGUCUUCCCGGUUCCAACCUUCCUGCCUGCUGUUCUGUCCCUUUUUGACUCUGCCUUGGACUAUGAACAUCUGCCUGCCCCUUUGGAUGCCCCUUGGUUAUAAUAAAUAUUCUGAGAACCGA